GACGAACGCUGGCGGCGUGCUUAACAUAUGCAAGUCGAACGGAAAGGCCCUGCUUUUGUGGGGGGCUCGAGUGGCGAACGGGUGAGUAACACGUGAGUAACCUGCCCUUGACUUUGGGAUAACUUCAGGAAACUGGGGCUAAUACCGGAUAGGAGCUCCGGCUGCAUGGUGGGGGUUGGAAAGUUUCGGCGGUGGGGGAUGGACUCGCGGCUUAUCAGCUUGUUGGUGGGGUAGUGGCUUACCAAGGCUUUGACGGGUAGCCGGCCUGAGAGGGUGACCGGCCACAUUGGGACUGAGAUACGGCCCAGACUCCUACGGGAGGCAGCAGUGGGGAAUAUUGCACAGUGGGCGGAAGCCUGAUGCAGCAACGCCGCGUGCGGGAUGACGGCCUUCGGGUUGUAAACCGCUUUCGCCUGUGACGAAGCGUGAGUGACGGUAAUGGGUAAAGAAGCACCGGCUAACUACGUG
rnacentral:rRNA from 1 species